GGGACUGGCCCACUUGAACCAUUUGGAAAAGUACUUUUAAAAAUUGGCCUCCUGUGUUGAAGCCCUACAAUAAAAUGGGCUGGGGGAAGACGGGAGGGAGAAGGGAGACAAGGAGAAAAGGCCACUUCUGUUAGACUUUGCUCUCUUCCCCAUCUCUGCCUAGGCAGAGGAAGAUGCUACUGAUGUGCCUGGCUGCCCCAUUUCACACUCUGUGGCGCCUAGAGAAAAGCUGUUUGGGAUUCACCCGCACCAUCAGCAGGUCACUACAAGGUCAUCCUAACCCCUACGCUUGGCUUGCACCUGUGGUAUCUUCCUGAACUUUCUGCCUUAACUGCGCCUGACCUUUGCCUAAUCAGACAGAUAAAGGACAUCUGAUUACUUCUUGGUGCUUCUCAGGAAUACAAGCUUCUUACCUCCCUGAAUUUCUGCCGGAAGGGACCCUAGCGGUCAUCUAGCCUGCGGUUACAGCUUAUCAAGGUCACUUACACCAAAGGAAGCCAUGGAGCAAACCGUCUUGUGGAGAUGCCCAUGUGGAAAGGGACGGAAGCCUCUUGCCAAGAGCCACGUGGGUAAGCCUGGACACAGCACUUCCAGCCUAUCUUCAAAGACUACCACCCUAGCAGACAGCUUGACUGCAGCCCCACGAGAGAACCAGCCAGCAUUCUGGACCCUCAGAAGCUUGUGAGAUGAGUUACUAAGUAAUUUGUUACGCAACAAGAGAGAACGCACAGCAUUAGAAAAAGUAAA